GUCUAUGGCCAUGCCACCCUGAACGUGCCGGAUCCCGUCUGAUCUUGGAAGCUAAGCAGGGUCAGAAGCUAAGCAGGAUGGGGCCUGGUUAGUACUUGGAUGGGAGACCACCUAGGAAAACCAGGUGCUGUAGGCG
ensembl:rRNA 5S_rRNA 5S ribosomal RNA